rnacentral:rRNA from 1 species
CGGGUAAUUGAGUAGUGGAGGUAGAGCACUGAAUGGGCUAGGGGCUGACAACAGUUACUGAACCCUAUCAAACUCCGAAUGCCAUAUACUUGUACCCCGGCAGUCAGACUACGAAUGAUAAGAUCCGUGGUCAAAAGGGAAACAGCCCAGACCAUCAGCUAAGGUCCCAAAGUGUAAGUUAAGUGGGAAAGGAUGUGGGAUUUCUAAGACAACUAGGAUGUUGGCUUAGAAGCAGCCACUCAUUUAAAGAGUGCGUAAUAGCUCACUAGUCGAGAGAUCCUGCGCCGAAGAUGUAACGGGGCUCAAACUUACCACCGAAGCUAUGGAUGUGUACUUUGUACACGUGGUAGAGGAGCUUUCUGUACAGGUUGAAGUCAUACCGUAAGGAGUGGUGGACAGUACAGAAGUGAGAAUGCUGGCAUAAGUAGCGAAAAACAAGUGAGAAUCUUGUUGACCGAAUAUCUAAGGUUUCCUGGGGAAGGCUCGUCCUCCCAGGGUUAGUCGGGACCUAAGCCGAGGCCGAAAGGCGUAGGUGAUGGACAACUGGUUGAUAUUCCAGUACCACCAUAAUGCGUUUGACAAAUGGGAUGACGCAGGAGGAUAGGAUGUGCGCACUAUUGGAUGUGCGUCUAAGCACUUAGGGUGUUAAGUAGGCAAAUCCGCUUAACAUUAAGCCUGAGGUGUGAUGGGGAGCCUAUUUUGGCGAAGUAUCUGAUUCCACGCUGCCAAGAAAAGUCUCUAUGGAGCAAA